UACAGAGGUCUCAAGCGUUGUUCGGAUUCAUUGGGCGUAAAGGGUGCGUAGGCGGCGCGGUAAGUCGGGUGUGAAAUCUCGGAGCUUAACUCCGAAACUGCAUUCGAUACUGCUGCGCUAGAGUACUGGAGAGGAGAUUGGAAUUUACGGUGUAGCAGUGAAAUGCGUAGAUAUCGUAAGGAAGACCAGUGGCGAAGGCGGAUCUCUGGACAGUUACUGACACUGAGGCACGAAAGGCCAGGGGAGCAAACGGGG
rnacentral:rRNA from 1 species